UACGUAGGGAGCAAGCGUUGUCCGGAUUUAUUGGGCGUAAAGGGCUAGUAGGCGGUUCGGCAAGUCGGGUGUGAAACUCUAGGCUCAACCUGGAGAGGCCACCCGAUACUGCUGUGACUCGAGUCUGGUAGGGGAGCACGGAAUCUCUGGUGUAGCGGUGAAAUGCACAGAUAUCAGAGGGAACACCGGUGGCGAAGGCGGUGCUCUGGGCCAGUACUGACGCUGAAGUAGCGAAAGCGUGGGUAGCGAACAGG
rnacentral:rRNA from 1 species